GUUAGUGAAGAGAGUCACAUCCAAGCGAAGGGGGAGAUGUAGUCCUAAUGAGGCAACAAAUUAAAGACCACACCCUGCGAUAUUUGGAACAACGAAUGCAAAGGUGUCACUGUUUCCUCUGCCCUGGUUACAGACUGACAGGCUGGAGGCAAUGCCAUGGGGAGUUCCAGCACAACUUGAACUCCUCCAAAAGGUGCAUGGAGAAUAGAAAAAGUAUACAGAACAUCCUCGAGGCUUCGGACA